rnacentral:rRNA from 1 species
UACGUAGGGGGCGAGCGUCGUCCGAAGUUACUGGGCGUAAAGCGCGCGUAGGCGGGUUCUUAAGUGAGGGGUGAAAGGUUCGGGCUCAACCCGAACACUGCCUUUCAUACUGGGAGCCUUGAGUGCGGGAGAGGCGAGUGGAAUGGUCGGUGUAGCGGUGAAAUGCGUAGAUAUCGAUCGGAACACCCAUGGCGAAGGCAGCUCGCUGGCCUGCAACUGACGCUGAGGCGCGAAAGCGUGGGGAGCAAACAGG